GCCCACCAAGGCGAUUACAGGUACGGGCUCUGAGAGGAGAAGCCCGGAGAUGGGUACUGAGACACGGACCCAGGCCCUAUGGGGCGCAGCAGGCGAGAAACCUUAGCAAUGUGCGAAAGCACGACUGGGUCAGUCCGAGUGAUUCCUGAUAAAGGAGUCUUUUGCUUGUCCUAAAAGCACAGGUGAAUAAGGGGUGGGCAAGUCUGGUGUCAGCCGCCGCGGUAAUACCAGCACCUCGAGUGGUCAGGACGUUUAUUGGGCCUAAAGCAUCCGUAGCCGGCUCUGCAAGUCUUCGGUCAAAUCCACCUGCUCAACAGAUGGGCUGCUGGAGAUACUACAGAGCUAGGGAGCGGGAGAGGCAGACGGUAUUCAGUGGGUAGGGGUAAAAUCCUCUGAUCCAUUGAGGACCACCAGUGGCGAAGGCGGUCUGCCAGAACACGUUCGACGGUGAGGGAUGAAAGCUGGGGGAGCAAACCGGAUUAGAUACCCGGGUAGUCCCAGCUGUAAACGAUGCAAACUCGGUGAUGCAUUGGCUUUGGCCAAUACAGUGCCGCAGGGAAGCCGUUAAGUUUGCCGCCUGGGAAGUACGGACGCAAGUCUGAAGCUUAA
rnacentral:rRNA from 1 species